CCUACGGGAGGCUGCAGUGGGGAAUAUUGGACAAUGGGGGCAACCCUGAUCCAGCCAUGCCGCGUGUGUGAAGAAGGCCCUCGGGUUGUAAAGCACUUUCAGUGAGGAAGAACGCCUGGUGGUUAAUACCCAUCAGGAAAGACAUCACUCACAGAAGAAGCACCGGCUAACUCCGUGCCAGCAGCCGCGGUAAUACGGAGGGUGCGAGCGUUAAUCGGAAUUACUGGGCGUAAAGCGCGCGUAGGUGGCUUGAUAAGCCGGUUGUGAAAGCCCCGGGCUCAACCUGGGAACGGCAUCCAGAACUGUCAAGCUAGAGUGCAGGAGAGGAAGGUAGAAUUCCCGGUGUAGCGGUGAAAUGCGUAGAGAUCGGGAGGAAUACCAGUGGCGAAGGCGGCCUUCUGGACUGACACUGACACUGAGGUGCGAAAGCGUGGGUAGCAAACAGGAUUAGAUACCCGAGUAGUC
rnacentral:rRNA from 1 species